rnacentral:rRNA from 1 species
UACGAAGGGGGCGAGCGUUGCUCGGAUUUACUGGGCGUAAAGGGCGCGUAGGCGGCGGGUCAAGUCGAGUGUGAAAGCCCCGGGCUCAACCUGGGAAUUGCGCUCGAGACUGGUCUGCUUGAGUUCGGGAGAGGAGCGUGGAAUUCCCAGUGUAGAGGUGAAAUUCGUAGAUAUUGGGAAGAACACCGGUGGCGAAGGCGGCGCUCUGGACCGAGACUGACGCUGAGGCGCGAAAGCGUGGGGAGCAAACAGG